AAAACUAAAAGAAAAAGAAUUUAUCCUUGAUACGUGCUUUCAACCGUUGGAUUGCGCUAGAUUUCGAACCUUCACCAUUGGAUCGCCUUGGAUUUCCAUUGGGGUUGAACUUCGGAUAAAAAUCUUUGAAUAACCUUAUUGAAACUCUUCGAAUGUGUUCUUCGCCUCAAAAAAUGCUAAUCUAACAAUUUUUUUAAUAACUCUCACUCUUUU
rnacentral:lncRNA from 1 species